GGAUGGGGUGAGCUCCAAGGGAUGGGCUGAUCUCUACAGGAUGGGGUGAUCUCCAAGGGAUGGGGGAACACAGCAGGGGCACAGCAGAACUUGGGCAGUGCUUCCUGCUGGCAGGGAAUGAACCCUGGAGCUUUCCUGCCUCAUGAACCCCCCCAAGCCCUGUCCUGCCCUUUCCCCACAGCCCACCUGGAGCAGCGGCUCCUGGCUGUGCAGCCCCCCAGGGUGGGACAGUGUGGGGCAGAGGUGUGAGUUAGGAUGCAGGGUGAGGUUCAGGCUGGGUUCUGAGCUUCCACAGGGCUUGAUGAGGAAAAGCUGUGGGGUUGGUGACAGCAAGUUGGACAAGAUUUGAUUGUUUCAGCCUCUGCAUCAGGGCAGGGCUAUGGACAUAACAUCAAGGAGUAAAACCACAUUCUGUGAGCAGCAACACAUGGCUGCUGAGCCCUGCUGAAAGUCCCACAGAGAGUGACAUCCCUUUGUCAGUGCAAGGUGGUGUAAUAGGAGAAAAUCUCCAUGCUUGAUCCGUGCCCUCCUACCUUUGCUGGCUGGGAAGAAGUGCCUGCUAUGCAGGGUCUGGAGUACUGAAGGCUGUGGCACAGAGCAAGGAAGUGAAAACCCCACUCAGCAUCUGGGCUGCCAGCCUUUGUGACUGCUUCUGCCCUGGGAAUCAGUUCUGACUCCUGCUAAGGGAAAACCCCAAAGUCCUUCCAUGGACUGAGUCCCUUGCACCUGCCCACCAGAGACUACUCCCAGCUGUGGUGUUGUCUGGUUUCCCUCACUUGCCUCUCGUGUUUUGGGCUUUAUUCUGUUCUCCAUGCUGGAGGUAAACACCAGGACAGCAAUCCUGUCACCUCUACCAGACUUUCCUCUGCUUUGUCCUGCUCUCAGGAAAACCUUGCACAUACCUGAGGCUGAUACCCUGGUUUCCACAGGCUCUUCACCUGUGCAGAGACACGUGUGCCUCAUCCAGGAGCCAGUCCAUGGGCUCUCCAGAGUGUCCAAAGUGACUGCACAGCUCCUGCCACAGCUCUGCCCUACUGCCCAGGACAUCUCCAGCCUCACGUGGUGCUGUCCCCAUCACCAGUGCAGUGACAGGGUGCCACAGCCCAGGAGUGAAGGGGGAGCUGCUCCAGAAACUCUUCCCUUUAUCAUCAUCAUCUUUGGAGGAGAUUUGUCUGAUGGUUUCUCUUCUACCACUUGCCACUUUAUCUCUGGACUCUUGCUGCAGCAGAUUUUCAGAGCCCUCCAAAUAUUUUGCUACUCAGAGCCGUGGGUGAGGUCCCCUGUCACUUCUGCUGAAAUGGGAGGUUGGGUGAGGAACCUCUGGAGUGCCUGGACAGACCAAACCUGGACCCUGGGGAAGCUGCUGGGUGUGUGGAGUGUGUGCAGAGAGGCACCAGGCUGUGGGUGCCACAUCUCUGCUGCUUCACAAUCCUCUCUCACUGUUGGUUUGUCCUGAGUAUUCAGCUGGUGUGGGCUGCUGCCUGGCUCGAGACAGAUUUUCCCUAUCUGCCAAUACAGAUGUCUUCACCAUUGGAGAGACCCAGGGCAGUGAGAAAAACCACCAUGUGCAGGAUUUAAAGUGAAUAAAGUGAAUAAAUAACCCAGUCCAUC